UACGGAGGGUGCAAGCGUUUAUCCGGAUUCACUGGGUUUAAAGGGUGCGUAGGUGGGAAUGUAAGUCAGUGGUGAAAUCUCCGUGCUUAACAUGGAAACUGCCAUUGAUACUAUGUUUCUUGAAUUUUCCGGAGGUAAGCGGAAUAUGUCAUGUAGCGGUGAAAUGCUUAGAUAUGACAUAGAACACCAAUUGCGAAGGCAGCUUACUACAGGGAUAUUGACACUGAGGCACGAAAGCGUGGGGAUCAAACAGG
rnacentral:rRNA from 1 species